AUUUUUUUUUUUUAUUUAACGCAUAUUGUAGAAUAAUUCCUGAUAAUUUAGGUUCCAGGAAAAGCAGAAAUUCAGUAACGUAGCAUCGAAGGAGCAAUUAUUUAAUGUCAUCCAACGUCCGUCCGACGAUAUCAUCUGCCCUACGCUCUUUAGACCACGAAUUCUCAAGAAGUUUGUUUGCCUUACAGCGAACGAUCCGACGAAAGAGGAGCGUCACGGCCAUCUUGUCUUUGCCUUCGAGCUGAAUCCCUGCAACGGCUGUUCCUUCGCUCUAAUUAAACUCUUCACGAUAUCGCUAAAACCUUUUCGAUAUUCUUAAUUUUUAAAGAAAUAAGAGACCACACUCUUCGAAGCGUACGAGACUCUUGGCAAUGGACCUCGUGCCUUAAGGGUUGAAAGUGAAGUGGUCGUCUUUUCUCUCAGAGGCCAACCCUCCGGAGAUAGUGGCGCCCAACAGUGUUUACCAUUUUUACUGCUUCCAAGAUUUCCUCGCGACGUUUUCUGCGACAGCUUCAAGUGGCCCUUGGAAAAACUAUGUAAUUGAGUCCUAGAUGUCUAGGAGGAAAAAUUAUAUUGAAGAAAAAACAUCCAGCUCCGUUUCUGCUUUGAGACGACAACAUAUUGAAGCUAUCCGUUUAGAGCUUCCAUCAGCGGUCGAGUACCUGUCGGAUACUACCUGAGCUACUCCCGGAGGUGCAUGCGCCGCGGCAUCCUUUAAGGAAACUGAUAUCUUUUCUCUGGUCGUUUCUCACGGGCAUCCUUGAGACGUAGACAUCGGGGCGGGCUGUUUUCACCACUUUAGAAAAAUCGAAUCGCCCCGAAGAGCGACAAGCGAAGGGUGAGAGGUCUACGUUGGUGGUAAUCAUCCAGGAUCGAUCUCUCCAGAAGCUCGUAAAUUUCUGUGAAACCGACGCGCCGUUCGUCGUGGUUUCCUCGAGCACCGUCUAAUUUCCCCUGGAUUUCUGCAGUCCAUCCUUGGCGUACAGUGUCUGGAUAGUGUUUCUUUUGCGUAAGAUCAGGCCUCGUCGGUGGAACAGUUCUAAAGAGGAACGGAGAGGGAAUACCAGCUCUCAAAAUAAGACAUGUUUAUCCGCUGAUGCUGCUAUUUUGGAAAGCGCGCAAGUCCCUCUCCUAUACGUGUAUUCUGGGUCAUUAAGGACAGCAGAUGAGAGACUGUGUUUCGAAGUAUGUACUACAUCUAUUUUACUAAUCACAACAUAAUGGUGGUACAUUGUGAUGUAACAUCCUCUAGAAAAGCUCGUACCUCUUCAUGAAAUAUAAUUCAACGUGUGACGGGUAAGAU